CAGCACAGAGCACAGUCAACUGGCAGCUCACAGAAACGUCAAGGCAAGAUCAGCCAGGCUGUCCAUGAAGGGUUUUGAAAAUAGGACAAAAGCUUACGUGCAGGUAUGGUCUGCACGUAACUGUGAUGGCAUUUCUUAUCAGCAAAGACACAAUAUACUGAAAACUGAAGCCAUGAAUCUGCAAGUGCUAAAACAAACAGGAGGUGGUUUGGGAAAAAAAAAGGCACUACGAUCUCACAUUUGGGGACAGAGCAACGCAAGCAAGAGCAUGAUACAAUCACCUACGCGAGAUCGCUCAGCAGUGCAGCCCACUUAAGGCUGCUGGUGGAAAGGCUGCUGAGAGGGAGUGGGGAAGUUACCAGACUGUGAAUAAACACUUACUUUCCUCCUU